CAAUGUUUUUGGAAGAAACACCGACUUAGUGCGCAAGUACAUGAUGUGUCGAGACAAGAAAGUGUUAUGUUGACAACACAACACACACGUGUCACUUGCCUUCCCAUCUAUAAAAGCCAACAUUUGUGCUUCUCUCCUCACUUGUUCUCUGUCUAAACCAACUACCACCUUCGCCACCACCACGGUUUUAGGUUAGGAGCCAAGAAUGGAUAUGGACCCAAAUGAUCCCGAUGAACCACGGUAUCUACGCCUUUUAGGUACCAUAAUUCAUAAAGAGCAACCCAAUAGAAUGUGUAAUUAUCAGAGUACCAAUGAGUCUCACCCAGCAGAUCCAUCUAAUGAUUGUUCAGAAAAUCAUUCGGAAAUUAAA